UAGGGAAUAUUGGACAAUGGGGGCAACCCUGAUCCAGCCAUGCCGCGUGAGUGAAGAAGGCCCUCGGGUUGUAAAGCUCUUUUGUCCGGAAAGAAAAGCUUCGGGUUAAUACCCCGGGGUUCUGACGGUACCGGAAGAAUAAGCACCGGCUAACUUCGUGCCAGCAGCCGCGGUAAUACGAAGGGUGCAAGCGUUACUCGGAAUUACUGGGCGUAAAGCGUGCGUAGGUGGUUGUUUAAGUCUGAUGUGAAAGCCCUGGGCUCAAACUGGGAAUGGCAUUGGAAACUGGGCAGCUAGAGUGCGGUAGAGGGUAGUGGAAUUCCCGGUGUAGCAGUGAAAUGCGUAGAGAUCGGGAGGAACAUCUGUGGCGAAGGCGGUCAACUGGCCCAUAACUGACGCUCAUGCACGAAAGCGUGGGGAGCAAACA
rnacentral:rRNA from 1 species